rnacentral:lncRNA from 1 species
UGUGACUCAGCCGCAGCUGCCCAGUUUCUCCUGAGGGCAAGUCCCAACAGUGUGACGACUGGGGUGCCAGUGGAGAUUGGUUGGUCAUGCAGGUUUCUGCAUGGUUCCUAAGCCCUUGGGUGACCUCUAAACUGGAAUUCAAAGCCACUUUAUCUGCUCUGGGCUCUCGGCUCUCUUGUGAGGUGGCUUGCUUAAGUCAGCUCUGCUCUGUCGUCUUACCCACUGAAACCACUGUGAGGAGUGGACCAUGGGGGGAUGUGGUGAAGUGGAACACUCCAGCCCGGAACAUUCAAAUCUAGAGGCAGGGAAGGGUGGAGAUCUAGUCAAGGAAGGAGAAACCUGACGUGGCCGGCAUGACUGGUGUGACAUGGUUUUGUAAGGAGAGAGCUGGAAAAGAGCGGGCUGUGGAGGUUAGGGGGCUAGUGCUGAGCCCUGUAGCCAGGCAGGACACCAAAGCAGGAAGGUGACCGACUUGCUCACGCAGACUACAAUUAGUGAGUUCCUCACCCCUGACUUUUCAAGAAGCAGAAAUGUGGUCAAGGGUACAGAGUAAACAUGAGACACGUGCUUCAAGUACGUUCCUUAAACAAACAAACAAACAAAACCAGGGACUGUAAGAGGCCAAGAUAACCUCAAAAUCAUGGCCUUCCUACCUGGCAGCAUUGCAAGUGCUGGGAUUGCAGGCCCCAGCAGCCGUGCCCAGUCUUUCACUUUACAGAUGAGGACACACGUUUAAAUACAGUAUCCAAAGUAUCAGCCUCACAAGUAGAAGUGGCCAUAAUCCAUGAUAAUGAAGGCCCUGCUUAAACUCCUGGAGUCUGAGGUAUGUUACCUGCCAGAGACGUCUGGGUGAUUUAAGGAGAGCUCUUGUUACUAAGUUGUCUUAAAAGUUUGCCUGGAGGGCUGCGGCUUAGCUGGGCGAAUGCUUUCCUAACACGUGCAAGGCCCUGGCUUGCAGUGCAGCAUAAGGGGUAGGAUGAUAGACACCCGGAGUCUGGGAAGUGGAGGCAGCAGGAUUAGAAGUUCAAGGUCAUCUAUCUUUAGCUCUGUAGCAAAGGUUGGCAUGAGAUAUAUGAGACCCUGGAGGUGGGGGGAGAGAACAACUGUGCAGACCUUGAAGAACUAAUCCCCUUAAAUCCAUCCAGUCACUCCAGGAAGAGGUCAUGAGGACCAUCUGAUGAUCUAUGCACUGCUGUUACACUGAGAAAUGAGUUACUAGUUUGGGAAGCUCUGGGUGGAGGAAGGGGCGUGGCUGGUCUCCUGUGCCGGGCCUGAAUAAGUGUGCCGCCCUUUCCCUGCUGAGUCAUGGUUUUCCCUGUCUUUAACAAGAAAGGCCAAGCCUAGUGGCUCACACUUUUUGGGAAGCUGGGACAGGAGGGCUUCCACAAGUUAAAGGUCAGCCUGGCUACUAAGACCCAGUCUCAAAAGACCCACAAACCAGGCUGGGUGUGGUGGCUCAUUCCUUUAAUACCAGUAUCUGGGAGAGAGAGAGGCAGAAGGAUCUCUGAGUUCAAGGCCAGCCUGGUGUACAGAGUUCCAGGUGAGUUCCAGGACAGCCAGGGCAACAUAGUGAGACCCUGUCUCAAACAAAACAAAAAACAACCACCACUGAGCUGGGGAUAUAACUACAGGUCGAUGGUAGAGCACUUCCCUAACAUGCAGGAGCCCUUGGGUUCCAUCCCCAUCGUGAAAAUAGACUUCCUUUUUUCUCUCAUAACUAUGCCAGUCAGCAGUUCACACGUAAGACUAACAUCUCUACACACAUCCAGAAAGACACGCUACAUGAAGGUAAAUUUCAUAUACACCUUGAAAAUCUGUUUCAAUUUAUUUACUUAUUAUUAUUUUUUAAUUAAUUGGUUGGUUGGUUCUCCUGAGCCUGGGUUUCUCUGUGUAGCCCUGACUGUCCUGGAACUUGUUCUAUAUGGCCUCGAGUACUGAGGUCCGCCUGCCUCUGCCUCCCAAGCGUCCUUGGAUUAAAGGCGUUCGCCACC